AGGGUUCGAUUCUGGCUCAGAACGAACGCUGGCGGCAGGCCUAACACAUGCAAGUCGAGCGCGCCCUUCGGGGUGAGCGGCGGACGGGUUAGUAACGGCGUGGGAACGUACCCUUUGGUAGGGAAUAGCCACUGGAAACGGUGAGUAAUACCCUAUGAGCCCUUCGGGGGAAAGAUUUAUCGCCAAAGGAUCGGCCCGCGUUAGAUUAGGUAGUUGGUGGGGUAAUGGCCUACCAAGCCUACGAUCUAUAGCUGGUUUUAGAGGAUGAUCAGCAACACUGGGACUGAGACACGGCCCAGACUCCUACGGGAGGCAGCAGUGGGGAAUCUUGGACAAUGGGGGCAACCCUGAAUCCAGCCAUGCCGCGUGAGUGAAGAAGGCCUUAGGGUCGUAAAGCUCUUUCGCCUGUGAAGAUAAUGACGGUAGCAGGUAAAGAAACCCCGGCUAACUCCGUGCCAGCAGCCGC
rnacentral:rRNA from 1 species